GCCCCGCUAGCUCAGUAGGUUUAGAGCUUCGGUCUUUUAGAAAUCCUCGGGUUAUGAAGAACCGACGGUCGCGGGUUCGACCCCCGCGCGGGGCU
rfam:Trichosporon oleaginosus strain IBC0246 unplaced genomic scaffold CC85scaffold_26, whole genome shotgun sequence.